rnacentral:lncRNA from 1 species
CUCAAAACCUCUUAUAAACACAAAUUUUAACCCAAAAACUCAAAAAUCCAACCCAAAUUACUGGAUCGAAAAACCCUCAAUUCGAAAAAAAACCUAAGCCUCUAAACCUUCCAAAUUCAGUGAUUUGAACAACAAACCAACACAAAUUAAGGAAAGUAAAGAAAUGAUAAGCCAGAAUCAUCAACAAAUGAGUCAAAAGGGUGCAAAAUUGAAGGGUGCAUAAAAG